CAGGAGACAACUUUGGAUAUAUGUCUGGGCCUCAGGUGCCGUUCAAAAUGUAGCUUAGACAUGGCCUUGGAGCCAGGGCCUGUCUCACGAUAGUGAUAGCACUGAGCCUACACUAAGGUGCUAAGCUGGAUGGUAUCUUCCCUUAAAAGACUUCAAAAGAAGCAGAUUCCCCCAUAUCUGUGAGUAAGUUUGUUCCACUGAUCAGUCACCUCCUUGCUAGUUUGAAUGCACAUCUUUGCAAGUCCUUUACCCCUUUUCUUCACUGAGCCCUCUGCUAUUUCAAAGGGAUUGUCCUGCAAUGACAUCAUUGCUACCCCCACUGAGAAAAGCAGUUUUAAACCUCCCCAGGGGUUCCACAUGUGCUUAGAGUAUAAUGUAAUUAAUACAUCAUCUCAAUGCUUCAGCCCUUUCCAUAUUCUCUGUUAGCUCCAGUUGCCUCUGGCUGCCUUGAGACUCCUAAGAGAACAGGAGGAUGCAGACAAAUAAGAGUGUUUCUCACCCAGUUUGUUCACUCAAGCAAGCCAAGACCUUCCUAUGCAGUGUGCUCAACCCUUGUGAGACGGGCUUUGGCCAUUAUCAGCAUCCUUGUGCACUGGAGAGGAAGCAUGGAUAUUGGAAGUCACCCAGUGACUGACCCAUCUAGGACUGCUCCACUGCACAGACUGGCUUCAGCGGAUCUAGAGGAGCACUGGGGUGAAGACGUUCGUCAUCAAGCUAUCACGGCUCUGGGAUAUCUUCAUCACCGGUGCACAAGACAACUUUGA
rnacentral:lncRNA from 1 species